ensembl:ncRNA R02E4.4 ncRNA
GAACAAAAAGGAUCGGACCAAAGCGUCACUAAUAAAUACGCACAAAGGUCUAAUAAUUCAGCAACGACAGCAGUUUUUGUUCGUUUCGGAUCGAGUUGGCUUGCGAAAUGAAGAUGAAGCAUUUUGAAGAACACAGCUGCUUGCUUGCAUCGGCACAUAUGCUCACAGACUCAAAGGCUCUGUAUGUUUGAGAAAAUGAGAAGCGUGUGUAUAUUAGUGAGAUUUGAAAUGAGAUCCUCUUGACGUUUUCUCG